rnacentral:rRNA from 1 species
GACGAACGCUGGCGGCGUGCCUAACACAUGCAAGUCGAACGAGGUCCAUCCUUCGGGAGAAGACCUAGUGGCGAACGGGUGAGUAACACGUGAGAAACCUGCCCCGAAGACCGGGAUAACCCUCCGAAAGGAGAGCUAAUACCGGAUGCCCCCACCGAGCCGCAUGGCUUGGUGAGGAAAUGGAUUCCGCUUCGGGAGGGUCUCGCGGCCUAUCAGCUAGUUGGUGGGGUAACGCCCACCAAGGCAUCGACGGGUAGCUGGUCUGAGAGGACGAUCAGCCACACUGGGACUGAGACACGGCCCAGACUCCUACGGAGGCAGCAGUGGGGAAUCUUGCGCAAUGGGCGAAAGCCUGACGCAGCAACGCCGCGUGGGGGAUGAAGGCUCUCGGGUUGUAAACCCCUUUCAGCAGGGACGAAAUCAGACGGUACCUGCAGAAGAAGCUCCGGCUAACUACGUGCCAGCAGCCGCGGUAAU